rnacentral:rRNA from 1 species
AACGAACGCUGGCGGCAUGCCUAACACAUGCAAGUCGAACGAGACCUCCGGGUCUAGUGGCGCACGGCUGCGUAACGCGUGGGAACCUGCCCUUAGGUUCGGUAUAACUCCCCGAAAGGGGUGCUAAUACAGGAUAAUGUCUUCGGACCAAAGAUUUAUCGCCUUUGGAUGGGCCCGCGUUGGAUUAGCUAGUUGGUAGGGUAUAAGCCUACCAAGGCGACGAUCCAUAGCUGGUCUGAGAGGAUGAUCAGCCACGCUGGGACUGAGACACGGCCAAGACCGCUACGGGAGACAGCAGUGGGGAAUAUUGGACAAUGGGCGAAAGCGUGAUCCAGCAGUGCCGCGUGAGUGAGGAAGGCCUUAGGGUUGUAAAGCUCUUUUACCCGGGAUGAUAAUGACAGUACCGGGAGAAUAAGCUCCGGCUAACUACGUG